ensembl:lncRNA
UCGUAGGGCCAGGUCGGGAACCGCAGGGAAAAGGCCGGCUGAGCCGGGCCAAGGGGCCGCCCCGCCCACCCCGGCGGCUCCUGCUGGGACCGUCUGGUAUUUCACACUUGACACCAGAUAUUUGGAUUUUUAAGUACAAUCUUCUGAUUUUCAAAGUUAACACUUCAAUUUUUUUUUUUUAAGCAAAACAAAAACCUCAGAGGAUGCAGAUCUGUGUUUCCAAACUGCAAGCGCCCAGCUUGCAGCCUCAGUGCCAGCAGAGGACCCCUCCCCUCCUCUUAGGCGCAGCUUUUGCCUGACUCUGGGAGCAUCUCUUCGUCCUCGGGCAGCUCUUCGCUUCAUUCCACGUGGACAGACCUUCAACGACCUAUCACCGUGCUGUCCGGUUCCGGCCUGCAGCCUGGGGAGGAAGCUGUGGAGAUGGAUGGUCCUGUCCUGCCCUGCAGACGCGCCAGAGGUAGAAGCCAAGCUCAUCUCGGAGGAAGACUCUCUCCUCUUUGGAAGACAAAACGAUCAGUGGCUGUGUCCAGGGAAGGCAGCCCCUGUUUCGAGAGGAGCAGCUGAUCUGCAGGGAGCUGACCUACUCCUAGCUCUCACUCACUUUGCAGCAGGAAGAAGGGGGAACAGGCUGAGGGCUGCUCUGAACCAGCUGGUCAGCUGUCUCUCCUCAGAUCCGGACCACUCAGCCACUGAGCUGCGAGAUAGUCAGGAACUGAAUCCACUUUUGCUGGGCAUGUGGAUACGUCAGUCGAAAUUAGAAUGGAUUGAAAGAAUGUUCCCCACUGCAGUUGUAAACGAAGUGCCAUGUCUGUUCCUCAUGGAAGGAAAAUUCAGAGAACUGAAUAGAAGAAAAUUAAAAUCUCCACAACUCCGAGAGGAGUACAGUUAACAUGUUGAAGUCCUUCUUUUUUUCAAACACUUAAAAAUAUUUUUUUAAUUUUUAUUUUUUAAUUUUGAUUUUAUAUUGGAGUAUGGUUGAUUACCAGCAUCAUAUUUGUUUCAGGGAUACAGCAAAGUGAUUCAGUUUUACAUGCACAUGUAUCUAUUCUUUUCAAAGUCUUUGCUCAUUUAGGUUACUAUUGACUAGAGUUCCCUAUGCUAUACAGUACUUUGGCCACCUCAUGUGAACAGUUGACUCAUUGGAAAAGACUCUGAUGCUGGGAGGGAUUGGGGGCGGGAGGAGAAGGGGACGACAGAGGAUGAGAUGGCUGGAUGGCAUCACUGACUUGAUGGACAUGAGUUUGAGUGAACUCUGGGAGUUGGUGUUGGACAGGGAGGCCUGGUGUGCUGUGAUUCAUGGGGUCGCAAAGAGUCGGACACGACUGAGCGACUGAACUGAACUGAACUGAAGUUCUUGUUGGCUGUCUGUUUUAAAUAUAGUAGUAUGUACAUGUCAAUUCCAAAAAAAAUAGAGACAAACCACUUGUGGUUACAGGGUUGGGGGGAGGUCGGGGAAGGGAUAGACAGAGAGGCUGGAACUAUGACAUCCUUCUGACUUCUCCCUCCAACUGCUGAUGGUCGUGCAGGCUGAGACCUCCUUUGCAAUCUAUGGCUAGACUUUCCCCCUGAGUGUGUAUCAAGCUUUUCGCUAUGGAAGGUGUUUUGAAUGUCAAGAAGCAAGCUCAGGGGCUUACAGAGAGGAAAAUCACCCCUGCAAUCCUUCAGCUUCCCUAUCAAAUGUGUCCCAAUCCUGACUUCCAAACUUGGGUGGGUGAAUUCUAUGUUUCUUAAAUUACACUGAUUUAAGAGCCACGUGGGAAACAAGUGAUUCUCCAAAUGACGUUUUUCUAUACCUCAAGCGGCCAAGAGCGCCUGGGCCUGGGGGAGAGGAAAUGGCCAUCCACUUCUUGGAGAGAUCAGGGAUCUCUAAGUUUCAUGUUUUUUUAACUCAAUUAGCUUGGGAGUGGGGGUGGGGUGGGUCACCAGCUGCAUGGUCUGUGAGUCAUUUGAAUUUUGAGCUCCAAACUAUUUUAAGUAAUGAAAUUUUAAGUUUUGAGGGUUCUAUUACUAUUGUUGUUGCUAUUAUUACUAUUAUUAUUAAUUCAUUUUCAAAUCUGACUUUGGAACAGAGUGAUUAUUUCUCCUAAGAUUUCAACUUUAGAUUUUGAAGUCUGUAAACAAGAAGGCAAUUUGAGGUAUCUAGGGAGAUUAUAAGUGAAAUUAGUGUACAAAGACAAAACUGAUUGGUCUGUGGGAAUGGAGAAAAGACAGAAUGAAGAGUCUGUAAACUAUCUACUAACCUCACAGUGGCCUCACUGACUGACUCUGAAACCUAGUUCAGUUCAGUUCAGUCACUCAGUCAUGUCCGACUCUUUGUGACCCCAUGGACUGUAGCACGCCAGGCUUCCCUGUCCAUCACCAACUCCCGGAGCUUGCUCAGACUCAUGUCCAUUGAGUCAGUGAUGCCAUCCAACCAUCUCAUCCUCUGUCGUCCCCUUCUGCCUUCAAUAUUUCCCAGCAUCAGGGUCUUUUCCAAUGAGUCAGUUCCUUAUAUCAGGUGGCCAAAGUAUUGGAGUUUCAGCUUCAGCAUCAGUCUUUCCAAUGAAUAUUCAGGACUGAUUUUCUUUAGGAUUGACUGGUUGGAUCUCCUUACAGUCCAAGGGACUCUCAAGAGUCUUUUCCAACACCACAGUUGAAAAGCAUCAAUUCUUUGGUGCUCAGCUUUCUUUGUACUCCAACUCUCACAUCCAUACAUGACCACUGGAAAAAGCGUAGCUUUGACUUUGUCAGCAAAGUAAUGUCUCUGCUUUUUAAUAUGCUGUCUAGGUUGAGCAUAGCUUUUCUUCCAAGGAGCAAACGUCUUUUAAUUUCAUGGCUGCAGUCACCAUCUAUAGUGAUUUUGGAGCCCCCCAAAAAUAAAGUCUGUCACUGUUCCCA